AUGAAUUAUGUUUUGAAUCAUGCGGAUGGCCGGGUGCGUGUGCGUCGCUUACCUGAGGAAGAAAUGGCAAAAGGAUGCACCAUGGGAAGAAGGCAAGCCGGUAGAGGAAGUGUGAUGCUCUGAGCAAUGUUCUGCUUGGAAACCUUGUGUUUUGGCAUUCAUGUGGACGUUCUACCUACCUAAACAUUGUUGCAGACCAAGUACACCCCUUCAUGGCAACAGUAUACCUUAAUGACAGUGGCCUCUUUCAGCAGGACAACGUGCCCUGCCACACUGCAAAAAUUCUUCAGGGAUGUUUUGAAGAACAUUUCAAGGGCCUCCAAAUUCCCCAGCUCUCAAUCCGAUCGAGCAUCUCUGGGAUGUUCUGGACAAACAAGUCCGAUCCUUGGAGGUGUCCGAUCCUUGGAAGUCUCACGACUUACAACACUUAAAGGAUCUGCUGCUAACGUCUUGGUGCCACAUAUGACUUUUUUCCCCUUUAAUUUGCCUUAAAAUGACAGGGCCUGCUAUCAGGUCUGAGCUGUACAUGACUUUAUGGUGCCCCACCCUCUGUUUCAACAGGCUAAUAUUUCACAGAAAGUCUUCAUUGCAAAUUCUUCACACAGAACAAGAAACAUUUCUCUGUAAAAGAUCUGAUGCUUUUCAAAGACGCCUCAUCACAGACGGUACCAAUUAAUAAAAAGGAUAGCACUUUAUUAUUAAAGUUGCACCGAACGCUCACAAAAUAUAGUGGUUCCUUUUUUUAAAGAGCUUGUGUUUGGGAGCAUAUCUGAAAUUAGUAGAAUUAUAGACUAUUAUAAUUAUAGAAUAUAGAAUUAUAUUUCCUUUUAUUCAAAUCUACAGUACAUGCCCAUUGAAUCAAAAAAACCUUUAUCAUGAGGCACCAUUGCAACAUUGUUGAUUCAUAGUUUCAUUCAGAUGGGUUAAAGUCCACAAGUCAGUCUGUUCAUGCUGCUCCAGACAGAAAACUAACCGCACCUCACCUGCUGCUUGGACCAGAAUGAUUUUAGUGCUCAUCAUACUGUCUUUAUAUAGUCGUGUUUACAGAGAGCUUGUAUUGUUUGCCGAAGCACAAUCCUGGAGAGAUCCUGAUCCUUUCAGCUCUCCGGACCUGCCUGAUCCGUUUCGGAUGUCCUACCUCUGGAUGGAGCUCUCAUCUACUCCAAUUCCAGAUUGCCGGGACUAUGGCUGAUUCUAAGGCCAAACAGACUUCAUAUAAAUCCAUAAUGAACAUCUUUCACACUAUCUGUUGUUAUCCAGACGAGGACGGGUUCCCUUCUGAGUCUGGUUCCUCUCAAGGUUUCUUCGUCUUUACAACUCAGGGAGUUAUUCCUCGCCACCGUCGCCACCGGCUUGCACAGUUGGGAUAAAUUCGCACUUUGAAUAUCUGUAUACCGUGUUUAAAUAUUUCUGUAAAGCCG
ensembl:lncRNA